UUUGGUCCCCGGUCGCGUAUUUACAAACCUUAAAUUUAUUCUUUUAUGUUUUUUAAAUAUUCAUGUUUUUGAAUAUUUAAUUCAAAUAAUGUAAAAAAUAAAAUAGAUAUUGACAUGGAUUGAACAAAGAUAUAUAUUAUUUUAUGUUGUAUAAACAAAUUGGCAAAAUAGAGAUGGAAGAUAAAAAUAUGGUCAAAGUAAUAAGAGUCUAUGGUGAAUGCCUAG
rnacentral:misc_RNA from 1 species